UGUGGGAGCGGGCUUGCUCGCGAUGCAGGCGAUGCGGUGUGCCAGAUAAACCGAAGCGCCGUCAUCGCGAGCAAGCCCGCUCCCACA
rnacentral:antisense_RNA from 1 species